GAAAUGCGAUACGGAGUGUGAAUUGCAGAAUUCAGUGAAUGAUCGAAUCUUUGAACGCACAUUGCGCCCUUUAGUACUCCAAAGGGCAUGCCUGUUCGAGCGUCAUUUGUACCCUUAAGCUUUGCUUGGUGUUGCGCGUCUUGUCUCCAGUUCGCUCGACACUCGCCUUAAAGUCAUUGGCAGCCGGCCUACUGGUUUCGGAGCGCAGCACAAGGCGCGCUCUCAUCCAGCCAAGGUCAGCGUCCAGUAGGCCUUUUUUUCAACUUUUGACCUCGGAUCAGGUAGGGAUACCCGCUGAACUUAA
rnacentral:misc_RNA from 1 species